CGGCAACAGCUCAAAUUUGAAAUCUGGCUCUUUCAGGGUCCGAGUUGUAAUUUGUAGAAGAUGCUUCGGGUGAGGCUCUGGUCUAAGUUCCUUGGAACAGGACGUCAUAGAGGGUGAGAGCCCCGUACGGUUGGACGCCUAGCCUUUGUAAAGCUCCUUCGAC
rnacentral:rRNA from 1 species